AAGUGACUGGGAUCAUACUGGGGUCAUACUGGAAGUGACUGGAAGUGACUGGGAUCAUACUGGGAUCAUACUGGGAUCAUACUGGGCUUGACUGGAAGUGACUGGGAUCAUACUGGGAGUGACUGGAAGUGACUGGGAUCAUACUGGGAGUGACUGGAAGUGACUGGGAUCAUACUGGGAUCAUACUGGGAUUGACUGGAAGUGACUGGGAUCAUACUGGGAUCAUACUGGGAGUGACUGGAAGUGACUGGGAUUAUACUGGGAUCAUACUGGGAUCAUACUGGGAGUGACUGGAAGUGACUGGGAUCAUACUGGGAUCAUACUGGGAUAGACUGGAAGUGACUGGGAUCAUACUGGGGUCAUACUGGGAUCAUGAUGGCAUUGACAGGGAGCAACUGGGACCAUAUUGGGAGCAACUGGAAUCAUACUGGGAGUGACUGGAAGUGACUGGGAUCAUACUGGGAUCAUACUGGGAUUGACUAGAAGUGACUGGAGUCAUACUGGGAUUGACUAGAAGUGACUGGGAUCAUACUGGGAUCAUACUGGGAGUGACCAGAAGUGACUGGAAUCAUACUGGGAUUGACUGGAAGUGACUGGGAUCAUACUGGCAUCAUACUGAGAGUGACUGGAAGUGACUGGGAUCAUACUGGGAUUGACUGGAAGUGACUGGGAUCAUACUGGCAUCAUACUGGGAUUGACUAGAAGUCACUGGGAUCAUACGGGGAUUGACUAGAAAUGACUGGGAUCAUACUGGCAUCAUACUGGGAUUGACUAGAAGUGACUGGGAUCAUACUGGGAGUGACUAGAAGUGACUGGGAUCAUACUGGGAGUGACUGGAAGUGACUGGGAUCAUACUGGGAUCAUACUGGGAGUGACUGGAAGUGACUGGCAUCAUACUGGGAGUGACUGGAAGUGACUGGGAUCAUAGUGGGAGUGACUGGGUUGAUACUGGGAGUGACUGGAAGUGACUGGAAUUGUACUGGGAGUGACUACAAGUGACUGGGAUCAUACUAGGAGCAGUGGGAAAAGACUGGGAUCAUACUGGGGUUAUACUGGGAGUGACUGUGACUAGGAUCAUACUGGGAUCAUACUGGGAUCAUAUGAGGAUCAUACUGGGAGUGGUGAGAAGGGACUGGGAUCAUACUGGGGUCAUACUGGGACAUGAUGGCAUUGACAGGGAGCAACUGGGACCAUGUUGGGGUCAACUGGAAUCAUACUGGGAGUGACUGGAAGUGACUGGGAUCAUACUGGGAUCGUACUGGGAUAGACUGAAGUAACUAGGAUCAUACUGGGAUCAUACUGGGAUCAUGAUAGUGUUGACAGGGACCAACUGGGACCAUGUUGGGGUCAACUGGAAUCAUAUUGAGAGUGACUGGGAUUAUACUGGAAGCGACUGGAACCAUCCUGGGAGUAGCUGGGAUCACACUGGGAUCGCGCUGGGAUAGACUGGGAUUACCAGCGGGUGUGAACGGAACCUUACUGGGGGUUACUGGGAGCUGCUGGGCCCGCACACUGGGAGCAACUGGGAGCAACUGGGAGCAACUUUU